rnacentral:rRNA from 1 species
CCUACGGGCGGCAGCAGUGAGGAAUAUUGGUCAAUGGGCGCGAGCCUGAACCAGCCAAGCAGCGUGAAGGAUGACGGCCCUACGGGUUGUAAACUUCUUUUGUAAAGGAAUAAAAUGAGUUACGUGUGCCUUUUUGUAUGUACUUUAUGAAUAAGGAUCGGCUAACUCCGUGCCAGCAGCCGCGGUAAUACGGAGGAUCCGAGCGUUAUCCGGAUUUAUUGGGUUUAAAGGGAGCGUAGAUGGGUUGUUAAGUCAGCUGUGAAAGUCUGAGGCUCAACCGUAAAACUGCAGUUGAUACUGGCAGUCUAGAGUACAGAUGAGGUAGGCGGAAUUCGUGGUGUAGCGGUGAAAUGCUUAGAUAUAACGAAGAACACCGAUUGCGAAGGCAGCUUACUAGGCCGGAACUGACACUGAUGAUCGAAAGCGUGGGGAUCAAACAGGAUUAGAUACCCCUGUAGUC